CUCUUUACUGUGAAACUGCGAAUGGCUCAUUAAAUCAGUUAUCGUUUAUUUGAUAGUACCCUACUACAUGGAUACCUGUGGUAAUUCUAGAGCUAAUACAUGCGCAAAACCCCGACUUCGGAAGGGGUGUAUUUAUUAGAUAAAAAACCAAUGCCCUUCGGGGCUCCUUGGUGAUUCAUAAUAACUUCACGAAUCGCAUGGCCUUGCGCCGGCGAUGGUUCAUUCAAAUUUCUGCCCUAUCAACUUUCGAUGGUAGGAUAGUGGCCUACCAUGGUGGCAACGGGUAACGGGGAAUUAGGGUUCGAUUCCGGAGAGGGAGCCUGAGAAACGGCUACCACAUCCAAGGAAGGCAGCAGGCGCGCAAAUUACCCCAUCCCGAUACGGGGAGGUAGUGACAAUACAUACUGAUACAGGGCUCUUUUGGGUCUUGUAAUUGGAAUGAGAACAAUCUAAAUCCCUUAACGAGGAACAAUUGGAGGGCAAGUCUGGUGCCAGCAGCCGCGGUAAUUCCAGCUCCAAUAGCGUAUAUUAAAGUUGUUGCAGUUAAAAAGCUCGUAGUUGAACCUUGGGCCCGUCCUGCCGGUCCGCCUCACCGCGAGUACUGGUCCGGAUGGGCCUUUCUUUCUGGGGAAUCCCAUGGCCUUCACUGGCUGUGGCGGGGAACCAGGACUUUUACUGUGAAAAAAUUAGAGUGUUCAAAGCAGGCCUUUGCUCGGAUACAUUAGCAUGGGAAUAAUAGAAUAGGACGUGCGGUUCUAUUUUGUUGGUUUCUAGGACCGCCGUAAUGAUUAAUAGGGAUAGUCGGGGGCGUCAGUAUUCAGCUGUCAGAGGUGAAAUUCUUGGAUUUGCUGAAGACUAACUACUGCGAAAGCAUUCGCCAAGGAUGUUUUCAUUAAUCAGGGAACGAAAGUUAGGGGAUCGAAGACGAUCAGAUACCGUCGUAGUCUUAACCAUAAACUAUGCCGACUAGGGAUCGGGCGGGGUUUCUAUGAUGACCCGCUCGGCACCUUACGAGAAAUCAAAGUUUUU
rnacentral:rRNA from 1 species